GGAGUUUCGUGAGUACAGUUACCUUUCUUCUCGCUUCUCUUACGAAGUCUUGUUUGGGUAUCUCAACCCUGUCUAUGGAAUGUUAACGCACUUGCGGUUAGCUUAGCAUAGGCUAGCCGCUAAUUGCCUUUGACUGUUGCUAACCCUGUGCAUCCACCACAACGUGGAUAAGACUUUUCCUGUGGAUGUACUUUGUUCCGUGGAUUACCUUUGUGGAUUACCUUCCUUUGGACUAACUGUUCUAUUGUGGAACGUACUUGUGUUUAUGUGUCUGUUGCAACCCGGCCACUAAAAGGACUUGGGAGCAAGUCCAAGUGAAGCAUAAGAACAUCAUUCAGGCUGCGAACAAGAAAAGGGCAGAUAUGACGAAGACGGGGGGAGGACCCAGAGGUCCCGAGCUAACGCCUGCUGAGGAGCUGGGCCUGGCCAAUAACACACACACACACACACACUGCUGAGGAGCUGGGCCUGGCCAACAACACACACACACACGCACUGCUGAGGAGCUGGGCCUGGCCAACAACGGGGGUAGGCCCAUUAUGCAGGGCAUAGCUGGGGGCAGCUCCUCUGGAGAGGUGGUGGCAGGAUAGAAUCCGUAUGUCCAAGGUAAUUCUAUGAGUUUCCUUCAUAAUUAGUCAUUUGGUUGACCAUCGUCACAUUUGGCAGUGGCCGGAGGUUCAAUCACACUCCUGCAGCCACCUCCCAAUAUGUUGGUCGGGGGAGAGGAGCCCACUGAUGUAAGUUGAUAUUGCUGCAUCAUUGUGUAAUGAUUCUAAACAUGUUUAUUGUGUGUGUCUUUUAAAACCGAAGGCAAUUUUCCACAGUUCCUAAUAAUUCCUAAUUCACUAACAGGAGGUCGGUCUAGACGAUGAGGACACUCUUUCCACCUUCUCCAGCGAUUUGGUCAAUGCAAGUUGUGUUAACUAAUACUCCUAUCCCACUCACUCCUGGCACUCACUACAUCAAUGCAUUCCUUUAGGCAAAUCCUGCUGGACCACGGCCUGAUCCGCCGGAGCCUGGCCCCUCUCGCUCUUCGGGAACUGGGGAUGGGGAGACUGACUAUGAAGAUGUGCGCACGCUAUAUAAGCGCUACUUGCGCGCCAAAAUCAACAACCUCCACUUGAGCUCAAUGAAGCCUAAUGUGGAGGUUAAAUUGCUUAACGUAGACUGAUAUAAUACGUCGGACACAUGUAGAUGUCAUU
ensembl:lncRNA